AUUGAACGCUGGCGGCAGGCCUAACACAUGCAAGUCGAGCGGAUGAAGGGAGCUUGCUCCUGGAUUCAGCGGCGGACGGGUGAGUAAUGCCUAGGAAUCUGCCUGGUAGUGGGGGAUAACGUCCGGAAACGGGCGCUAAUACCGCACACGUCCUGAGGGAGAAAGUGGGGGAUCUUCGGACCUCACGCUAUCAGAUGAGCCUAGGUCGGAUUAGCUAGUUGGUGGGGUAAAGGCCUACCAAGGCGACGAUCCGUAACUGGUCUGAGAGGAUGAUCAGUCACACUGGAACUGAGACACGGUCCAGACUCCUACGGGAGGCAGCAGUGGGGAAUAUUGGACAAUGGGCGAAAGCCUGAUCCAGCCAUGCCGCGUGUGUGAAGAAGGUCUUCGGAUUGUAAAGCACUUUAAGUUGGGAGGAAGGGCAGUAAGUUAAUACCUUGCUGUUUUGACGUUACCAACAGAAUAAGCACCGGCUAACUUCAUG
rnacentral:rRNA from 1 species